GUCCUUUUGUUUAUUUAUUUAAGGUCUGACCUGCCCAAUGAGGAAUUGAAUGGCCGCAGUAUUUUAACUGUGCUAAGGUAGCAUAAUCAUUUGUCUUUUAAUUGAGGGCUGGAAUGAAGGGUUGGACGAGGUAUUAACUUUCUUUGAUUUAAUGAGGAGAAUUUAAUUUUUGAGUUAAAAAGCUUAAAUUUAUUUGUGGGACGAGAAGACCCUAUAGAUCUUUAUAGUUUUAUAUUUUAAUAAUUUGGUGAUUUAUUUGUUUUAAGUAGAUGAACUAUUUUGUUGGGGUGACUGUAGAAUUUAAAUAACUUCUAUUAUUUUAUUUCAUUAAUUAAUGUUUUUGUGAUCCAUAUUUUAUGAUUAUAAGAUUAAGUUACCUUAGGGAUAACAGCGUAAUUUCCUCGGAGAGUUCAUAUUGAUGGGGGAGUUUGCGACCUCGAUGUUGGAUUAAAAUAAGUUAUGGAUGCAGGAGUCUAUUUACUAGGUCUGUUCGUCCUUUAAAUUUUU
rnacentral:rRNA from 1 species